rfam:Callithrix jacchus chromosome 21, whole genome shotgun sequence
GCAUGUGCUGCCUGUGGUCUCAGCUACUUGAGAUGCUGAGGCAAGUGAAUUGCUUGAGCCUGGGAGUUCUAGGCUGUAGUGCUUUAUGCCCAUUGGGUGUCUACACUGUUUAGCAUCAGUAUGGUGACCUCCUGGGAAUGGGGAACCAGGUUGCCUAAGGAGGGGUGAACAGGCUCAGGUCAGAAAUGUAAGAUCAAAACUCCCCUGCUGAUUAGUAGUGGGACCAUGCCUGUGAAUAGCCAACACACACACACACACACACACACACACACACACACACACACAUUUA